rnacentral:ncRNA from 1 species
CCCUGGAAUCGGUUCAUCCGGAGAUAGGGACGUUGUUUCCGUAAAGCACCGCGGUUUCUGUGGUGUCUCGUGCUCUCUGAACGGCCCUUGAAAAACCGAGGGAGGCUAUUAAUCUAUGCUGCAUCGUACCGAUAUCCGCAUCAGGUCCUCAAGGUGAACAGCCUCUAGUCGAUAGAAUAAUGUAGGUAAGGGAAGUCGGCAAAUUAGAUCCGUAACUUCGGGAAAAGGAUUGGCUCCAGUGAUCGGGUCGGUUGGCCUGUUCACUGAUACUUGUAUGGUUUCGUUCGUGGCUGGCUGAUGCUAACGCUGAUGUCGGACUAGUGAUGAGACAGUCUUGUGGACGUUUAUAGGUGUGUGCUUUGCUUUCGAGCUUAGUAUCCUGACCGGCCAUUAAAACGGUCGAACUGGAACUGGUACGGACUCGGGGAAUCCGACUGUCUAAUUAAAACAGAGGAGACAGAUGGUCCUUGCGGACGUUUACUGUCUCUGAUUUCUGCCCAGUGCUCUGAAUGUUAAAUCGUAGUAAUUCGAGUAAGCGCGGGUAAACGGCGGGAGUAACUAUGACUCUCUUAAGGUAGCCAAAUGCCUCGUCAUCUAAUUAGUGACGCGCAUGAAUGGAUUAACGAGAUUCCCACUGUCCCUAACUACUAUCUAGCGAAACCACAGCCAAGGGAACGGGCUUGGUAAAAAUAGCGGGGAAAGAAGACCCUGUUGAGCUUGACUCUAGUUUGACAUUGUGAAGAGUCAUGAGAGGUGUAGCAUAGGUGGGAGACUUAUGUCGCCAAUGAAAUACCACCACUUUCAUCGAUUCUUUACUUAUUCGGUAAUGUGAGGAUUGGGCCAUCGGCUCUUUCUUCUUUGUGUUAAGUGAAGUCACCUGGUGACAUUACGACUCCCGUCGAAGACAAUGUCAGGCGGGGAGUUUGACUGGGGCGGUACAUCUGUCAAAUCGUAACGCAGGUGUCCUAAGGCUAGCUCAGAGAGGACGGAAACCUCUCGUAGAGCAAAAGGGCAAAAGCUCGCUUGAUCUUGACUUUCAGUACGAGUACAGACCGCGAAAGCGUGGCCUAUCGAUCCUUUUAAUCCAGAUAGUUUCUGGUAAGAGGUGUCAGAAAAGUUACCACAGGGAUAACUGGCUUGUGGCAGCCAAGCGUCCAUAGCGACG